rnacentral:rRNA from 1 species
CCUACGGGAGGCAGCAGUGAGGAAUAUUGGUCAAUGGACGAGAGUCUGAACCAGCCAAGUAGUGUGAAGGAUGACUGCCCUAUGGGUUGUAAACUUCUUUUAUAAAGGAAUAAAACGAGGCACGUGUGCCUUUUUGCAUGUACUUUAUGAAUAAGGAUCGGCUAACUCCGUGCCAGCAGCCGCGGUAAUACGGAGGAUCCGAGCGUUAUCCGGAUUUAUUGGGUUUAAAGGGAGCGUAGAUGGGUUGUUAAGUCAGUUGUGAAAGUUUGCGGCUCAACCGUAAAAUUGCAAUUGAUACUGGCAGUCUUGAGUACAGUUGAGGUAGGCGGAAUUCGUGGUGUAGCGGUGAAAUGCUUAGAUAUCACGAAGAACCCCGAUUGCGAAGGCAGCUUACUAAACUGUGACUGACAUUGAUGCUCGAAAGCGUGGGUAGCAAACAGGAUUAGAUACCCCAGUAGUC